rnacentral:sRNA from 1 species
UAUACAGUGAAUGUAGGGUGGGAGUGGCCACUUCCUUAUAGAAGGAGGUGGUGCUUAUAGUGACAACGUAUGAGGCGUUAACGCUAAUGAUUACCUUUGGCUCUUUAAUUGUCUCCAUCAUUGCCAUAGUUAUUUCAAAUGACAAAAAGAAAUAACCCCACCCUCAUGAAGCGCCUAAACUUUGAAGGGUAGAGUUAUGUUCCUUUCUCUAUUGGGCCACUGCUUUCCUUGCAGUUUGCUGUGUAGCAAGAGACAUUGGUUGCCGCCAGUGUCU